rnacentral:lncRNA from 1 species
GUCAACCAAUAUAGUUUUUUUUUAUCAGCAAUAAUGAUCGAAUAACAGGAACCACUUAAGGGGUGGUUCAACCCUUAUACAUACCUAAAAAAUGAGACAAUUUCUCUGGUCUCCCAAACCGGUAGAUAGAACAAACAGAUCUACCACUAAAAAACCCGUACAGCCCGUACAAUUUCAAAAACUAACCCGUACAAAAUCAAAAUUAACCUGUACAAAAUCAAAUCUAACCCGUACAAACCCAAAUAGACUCAAAACCAAACCCAAUACAAUCUCUUUGCACCCACAACAAGGGACAAAAAGAACAACAGAAGCUUAGAACAACAAAUAACCCAACCGAAGGAGUAACUCUUAUAAAAGCUCACUUUAUUGAAAACAUACCAGCUUUAGGAUCAAUGCACCACUCAGAGUAAGUAAAACUAGCAGAAACAGUUUUAGAAGUUACCCAAGACCAAACCUUUAAUUGUGCCAAAGUGAACACUUCCGUAGGAUCGAUCACCCCUCCUUGGAAUAUAUGUUUAUUCCUGUGCUUCCAUAAUUCACUAACUACAGCAAUCCAAACACAAUUCCAGACUACAUUAACCUGGACAGGAGCAUUUAGCAAAUUAAAAUGCAAAAGUGAGUUGUUGGGACAACAUGGUCAACCGACGCAAUCCCUAACCAUGUAUAACACUGAUUCCAGACUAACCAGGCAAUCCUGCAAUCAAAAAACAUGUGUUUUGUCGACUCCACAGUCAUCCUGCAAAAACUACAUAAAUUGGUAUCCACCAAAACCCCAC